rnacentral:rRNA from 1 species
AGAGUUUGAUUAUGGCUCAGAUUGAACGCUGGCGGCAUGCCUUACACAUGCAAGUCGAACGGCAGCACGGGAGCAAUCCUGGUGGCGAGUGGCGAACGGGUGAGUAACGUAUCGGAACGUACCUUUCAGUGGGGGAUAACGUAGCGAAAGUUACGCUAAUACCGCAUAUUCUGUGAGCAGGAAAGCAGGGGAUCGCAAGACCUUGCGCUGAUUGAGCGGCCGAUAUCAGAUUAGCUAGUUGGUGAGGUAAAGGCUCACCAAGGCGACGAUCUGUAGCGGGUCUGAGAGGAUGAUCCGCCACACUGGAACUGAGACACGGUCCAGACUCCUACGGGAGGCAGCAGUGGGGAAUUUUGGACAAUGGGGGCAACCCUGAUCCAGCCAUGCCGCGUGAGUGAAGAAGGCCUUCGGGUUGUAAAGCUCUUUCAGCCGGGAAGAAAUCACAUGGGUUAAUACCCUGUGUGGAUGACGGUACCGGAAUAAGAAGCACCGGCUAACUACGUGCCAGCAGCCGCGGUAAUACGUAGGGUGCGAGCGUUAAUCGGAAUUACUGGGCGUAAAGCGUGCGCAGGCGGUUUGUUAAGAUAGGCGUGAAAUCCCCGGGCUCAACCUGGGAACUGCGUUUAUGACUGGCAGGCUAGAGUAUGGCAGAGGGGGGGUGGAAUUCCACGUGUAGCAGUGAAAUGCGUAGAGAUGUGGAGGGACACCGAUGGCGAAGGCAGCCCCCUGGGCCAAUACUGACGCUCAUGCACGAAAGCGUGGGUAGCAAACAGGAUUAGAUACCCUGGUAGUCCACGCCCUAAACGAUGUCAACUAGGUGUUGGGUGGGUAAAACCAUUUAGUACCGGAGCUAACGCGUGAAGUUGACCGCCUGGGGGAGUACGGCCGCAAGGUUAAAACUCAAAUGAAUUGACGG